rnacentral:rRNA from 1 species
UACAGAGGGUGCGAGCGUAAUCGGAGUUACUGGGCGUAAAGGGCGCGUAGGCGGUUCGAUAAGAUUGAUGUGAAAGCCCUGGGCUUAACCUAGGAAUUGCAUCGAUGACUGUCGGGCUGGAGUACUGUAGAGGGUAGUGGAAUUUCCGGUGUAGCGGUGAAAUGCGUAGAGAUCGGAAGGAACACCAGUGGCGAAGGCGGCUACCUGGACAGAUACUGACGCUGAGGCGCGAGAGCGUGGGGAGCAAACAGG